AUUGAACGCUGGCGGCAGGCUUAACACAUGCAAGUCGAGCGAGCGGCGGACGGGUGAGUAAUGUCUGGGAAACUGCCUGAUGGAGGGGGAUAACUACUGGAAACGGUAGCUAAUACCGCAUAACAUCAGAUGUGCCCAGAUGGGAUUAGCUAGUAGGUGGGGUAAUGGCUCAACUAGGCGACGAUCCCUAGCUGGGCUGAGAGGAUGACCAGCAACGCGGGAACUGGGACACGGUCCAAACUCCAACGGGAGGCAGCAGUGGGAAAUAUUGCAGAAUGGGCGCAAGCCUGAUGCAGCCAUGCCGCGUGUUGGAAUAAGGCCUUCGGGUUGUAAAGCACUUUCAGCGAGGAGGCGUUACUCGCAGAAGAAGCACCGGCUAACUCCGUGCGAGCAGCCGCGGUAAUUC
rnacentral:rRNA from 1 species